AUUGAACGCUGGCGGCAGGCUUAACACAUGCAAGUCGAGCGGAGAUGAGGUGCUUGCACCUUAUCUCAGCGGCGGACGGGUGAGUAAUGCUUAGGAAUCUGCCUAUUAGUGGGGGACAACAUUCCGAAAGGAAUGCUAAUACCGCAUACGUCCUACGGGAGAAAGCAGGGGAUCUUCGGACCUUGUGCUAAUAGAUGAGCCUAAGUCGGAUUAGCUAGUUGGUGGGGUAAAGGCCUACCAAGGCGACGAUCUGUAGCGGGUCUGAGAGGAUGAGCCGCCACCAUGGGACUGAGACACGGCCCAGACUCCUACGGGAGGCAGCAGUGGGGAAUAUUGGACAAUGGGCGGGAGCCUGAUCCAGCCAUGCCGCGUGUGUGAAGAAGGCCUUUUGGUUGUAAAGCACUUUAAGCGAGGAGGAGGCUACCUGGAUUAAUACUCUAGGAUAGUGGACGUUACUCGCAGAAUAAGCACCGGCUAACUCUGUGCCAGCAGCCGCCGUAAAAC
rnacentral:rRNA from 1 species